CCAUUUUCUUCCGUAAGGCUGUUGACCGGAAAAUAAAUCAGCAAAGAAAGUUGAAAAUGGUGUUUCCUGCAGAUUCCCGCGAUUGCUUGAUAAACAGUGAAAGUGAGUUUCAUUGGAAACAAUGUGCACUUUUACUUUCCCUGAAUCCAGACAGGCCUUGAGUGAAAAAAUUCAGUAAAUUUGAAAUUCAAUCAACGUUAUUGUUUAUCUGACUCUCAAUCCAAUCCAAGAAGAGUGAAGACUUAGUAAAGCUGGCACAAGCUCAAGCAUCAUGUCCAGGCGCGAAAUGCCUUCAUCACAAUUUUUCACAUGAAGCAAGUACGGUUGAUCAGGUGCAAUCACUAGAAGCAAGAAUAAUGAAGUUGUGUCAAAAUUUGGGUGUGCUAUAAUGUUUUUUGUGAGAAAUGGGUGCUGUCAACCCCCUUUUUUUUUUUUUUUUAUGGUUUGUCUGGAAUUUCUUUAUGCAUUCAUGUUCUGAUGUUGUGAGGCUAUGAAAUGAGAUGUGUAAUCAUGAUGAAGAUGGUGAUUGUGUCAUUGGAGUUCUCGUUCCAUGCUUAGAGGUACUACACACACAAACUGUUUGACGUAAUG